rnacentral:tRNA from 1 species
GGCUGGGUAGCUCAGUUGGCAGAGCGUGGCACUCAUAACGCCAAGGUCGUGGGUUCAAUCCCCACCCCCGCCACCA